rnacentral:snoRNA from 1 species
CCCCUCUCAGGGUCACACCCGGAGAGUUUCCAGUACUCUACCAGACUUGACUAUGGGAGGGGGAGAGUCAAGCAGAGUCCUAUCCUUUCCAUUCCUAGCUUGGGCAGUGGCUAAUGAGUGGAAGGCAAUCUGCUACAAGU